UCAGGACGAACGCUGGCGGCGUGCCUAAAUACAUGCAAGUAGAACGCUGAAGGAGGGAGCUUGCUUCUUCUGGAUGAGUUGCGAACGGGUGAGUAACGCGUAGGUAACCUGCCUGAUAGCGGGGGAUAACUAUUGGAAACGAUAGCUAAUACCGCAUAAGAGGUAAUAACACAUGUUAUUGGUUUAAAAGGGGCAACUGCUCCACUAUCAGAUGGACCUGCGUUGUAUUAGCUAGUUGGUAAGGUAACGGCUUACCAAGGCGACGAUACAUAGCCGACCUGAGAGGGUGAUCGGCCACACUGGGACUGAGACACGGCCCAGACUCCUACGGGAGGCAGCAGUAGGGAAUCUUCGGCAAUGGGGGCAACCCUGACCGAGCAACGCCGCGUGAGUGAAGAAGGUUUUCGGAUCGUAAAGCUCUGUUGUAAGAGAAGAACGGAUGUGGGAGUGGAAAAUCCAUGUCGUGACGGUAUCUUACCAGAAAGGGACGGCUAACUACGUG
rnacentral:rRNA from 1 species